GACAGAGGGUGCGAGCGUUGUCCGGAGUCACUGGGCGUAAAGGGUACGUAGGCGGCUGGUCAAGUCUGGGGUUAAAGGCCACAGCUCAACUGUGGGAAGGCCCUGGAAACUGACCGGCUAGAGUGAGGUAGGGGUUGCGGGAAUUCCCGGUGUAGCGGUGAAAUGCGUAGAGAUCGGGAAGAACACCUGAGGCGGAAGCGCGCAACUGGGCCUCAACUGACGCUGAGGUACGAAAGCUAGGGGAGCGAAUGGG
rnacentral:rRNA from 1 species